AUGAAUCUUCUUUGGCAAUUCGAUAGAAUAAUUCUAAUUGUGAAGUUCCUUAGGUCAAAUAUCCCCAAAGACCCCGGUAGCAUCAGUGCCACAAACCAGAGCUCCUUGUUUCCCUGUGUUAGAUCUAAUACAACACUAAAUGAAUUUCUUUCUAGUGUUACAGUUCCUGUCAACCUCUGGCCUCAAGGAAACUUGCCUAGAAGUAUGGAAUUCACAACCCUUCUCCUACAAGAUGUGCCCCAUUCUCCCUACCUACCAGGUGGAGAAAGGGGAAUGUUAGCUUUUGCACUAAGGACCUCUUUCUCAGAGCCAAGCUGCUCCACCUGCCCUUCAAAAUUCUGGAAUAUCCUGACAGAUCAAGCACACAGAAGAUUACAAGAUGUAUCAGUUGAAGACAUGACCACAAGGGCUAUGACUGAAAUCAAAUUGAAUGAUUCCCCUGAGACUGAAGAACAAGAGGGAAGUCUUCAAUCAUUUAGCAACUGUCAGGAAAGAAAGCAUUACUCAGCCAUACAACUACACAUUGAAAAAGAAACCUGGAGGAUAGCGGAAAGUCAUAUUAAUUUUAAGCUUCAUAAAAUGAUAACCUCAAUUUUUAAGAACAGGAAAUAUAUCAGAGAAACAAAUAAAACUUCAACCCACAGAUCUCUUCAUAAUUCUCCAAGGCAACAGUAUCCAAUACCUACCAAACUACCAAUUGGAAACCAGCAAAAUUCAUGAGGAUAACCAUGUAGUAACCAUGGACACCCAGCUGUCAAAUUAAAUUAAAGGCUUAUGUGGCAAAGUA
ensembl:lncRNA